ACCGACGAAGCAAACCCUACUUGAUUUUCUGGAGAAUUUGUGGGCUGUGACAGACGCUGGAAUUCCUUUCGAAGCCAUCUGCAAGCCUGCCCCUGCAGAUGCACCCAAGCCUGUGAACAGUUAUCCUAAAUCAGACGAUGUAUGUUUGCGAUCAACUGCUGCUCGCACCUUUGCAAUCUUGAUGGGCCAUAUUGUUUCGUUCCGCAAUGUUGCAACACGAAAAUAUCAACUCCUGAGAAGCUUUUCUUCGUCUACCCAACGGGCCGAUCCGAGACAAAUGGUGCAAAAUCGUGCGUCGAGAUAAAGUGUCUCAAACAAGCAAACUUUGGUGCUGUGGAGACCAUUUCAUACUUGAAGAGGAUGUGGAAGACUGGACAAGGUUUAAUAUCUUAAGUGCAGCGGGCAAAGAUAAUUUCCGGCUGAAAUUGAAGAAAGGUGUUGUUCCCCGUAUUUUUGAUUGCCAGCCGGAUCGAGUGCAAGCCCAUUCUAAGGAGCUAAGGUCUGCCUUUCAAAAGCGCCAAGUACUAAGAGAGCUCAAGGAUGUCAAUUGGGAUACGAAUGCACGCGGAGAACCUUGAGCAAAUUUCCAGUCAUGAAAGUCAAGCUGAACUUGUGCAGGCCUCUGAUGAUAUCCCUGCCUCAAAAGUACCUGCAGUAGCACAAGCAAUGGCAACCCAAACUGAUGGAGAAGUUCCAGAGGAAAACCUGUGGUCGAUUAAUGAAGUUGCAGCCCCAGAACCGCCACCAGCAGAUCCUGUGUCCUCUCCAACUCCUCUUGAACACUCGCAGCUGUCAAGUGGUUCAUCUUUCAUGAGUUCCUCUUUCAACCACUCUGUUUUUGCUGACGCAGCAUGCCAGGUCAAACCUCACUUCCGCAGUAAAUGCAUUCAGGUACAACCCAAAACUGAAGACAAGAAAGUACAAACAAUGGGCUCCUGUAUGUGCUUCAGCAAUGUGCAGAAUGAAGAAAUGGAAAUUAGUUUUGAAGAGGACCAGGACGUCGAAUCGCAGUUGAAUAAAAGUAGUGGAAGUAUAUUUUCUUUAAAUUCUUCUGCUUUGGAUGCUGGCUGUGCGGAUGAAGACACCUCAGAAGAUGAUGAAAUGGCUUUAAACUACUUGAAGGCUUCAUAUUGCGACUCUACUUUGAGCAUCAUGGAGCUGCAACCCAGACUUUUCUUUGGGAUUGAUCCUGUAAAUAUGUCCAUUAUUUCUUUCCUUCAGAAUUACGGAAAGUUGUCAAAAUCAGAAAUAUACAUUUCAUUACGAAAGAUACGUUUGAAGGAGCCUAAUAGCUUGUUAUCGCUGUAUUUCAAUGUAAGUCCAAGCUCGAUUUCAAGAAGUAUUAACAAGGCGAUGCCUAUUAUGGCCACGUUCUUAAAGUCAUUUAUUUUUUGGCCUAAUAGGGAACUGAUUCAGAAGAAUGUGCCGCCAGCUUUUUUUCAAAGUAUUCAAAAGUAGAGAGCAUCAUCGAUUGCUUUGAAAUUCAAAUUCAGAAGCCAUCAGAUGCCGAGAAGCAAGCAGCGACAUGGUCUAGCUAUAAAGAUUGCAACACUGUUAAAUAUUUAAUCAGCAUGACCCAGAUGGCCUUGUCAAUUUUGUGUCUCGGGGCUACACAGGUCGAGUAAGCGAUCUAGCAAUAGUGAGGAAAAGUGGUUUCAUGGAUGUCUUAAGAGAGGGAACUGUGGUGAUGACUGAUCGAGGUUUUAAGGAAGUAGAAGCUGAAUUACGUAAAAAGAAAUGUAUACUAGUAAGGCCACCAAGUGUCGCCAAAGAUACUAAACACACAGAAGAAGAGGUCAAGCUGACAAAGUCAGUAGCAAGCCUCAGAAUUCACAUUGAAAGAGCCAUUAGACGGGUUAGAGAAUACAAAUUCCUUGAGCCUCACUCAACGAUAAAUCAUAAUGCCCUAGGUAUCAUCAAUCAUGCUGUCAACAUAGGUUGUGCUCUUGUUAAUUUACAAGGGCCAUUAAUCCGAUAGGCUGAUUACAGUUCCUUCGUCAGGGGUAAAAUUACAGUUCAGUCUGCUAGGCCCAGACAGCUCUCCAAUUUUAUGAACCAAUGAAUGCAUGUCAAUCCUGUCUUUUGACUUAAAGUCAAAGUCUACUUUGAAAGUAAUGAGAUAGUAGGUUUAAUUUUUUUUUUUACUCCACUUACACAUGCAUUAGCCGUACCUCAAAAAAUGAAGUUUCUAAGUUUACUGUGUUCGUUUGUAAGUUUACAGUUUUCAAUGAAAACCAAUAAAUCAAGUUUAAAUUUAAUUGUGUUGUAAUUAAUGUAUGAUUAGUAGAGCUUUAAAGCCUCUAAGUUGAAACAAUUUGUCAUCUCAAGAAGAUUCAAGAAAUAAAAAUGUGAUUUUAAUAAAAAAAAAAAAAAAUCGAAUUCUUUCAAUUUUCAUGUAAAUAAUCUCCUAAUAUUGAAAAUGGACCGAGUUGCUAUGAUAAAAAAUUGUGUCACUUGGGAGAAAGAAGUGUGGAAUCAGAGCGUGACUUUUGCAAACAAUUUCAUUUCCUCCAGAAUUUAUGGUAAAAUAUUAGAAAUAGAUCAAGAAUAAAAAGAAAAGAAAAAACCCUGAGGCAUUGUUUAUGCACAGGAAACAAAAUUUAAUCUCAAAACAACUCUUAAAACUCUGCCUGAUGAUUAAGACUUUUUCUGAGAUGAAUUAUCUAUACGAAAUGCCCUCUUUUUAGUUAUUUGCUCAUUCAUUGAUGAGCCUCUCGUUACUUCAGCUAUGGACACUCUCAAAGGUUUAAAGUCAUUUUUAGUGCUGGUGAUAGUC
rnacentral:lncRNA from 1 species